AUUGAACGCUGGCGGCAGGCCUAACACAUGCAAGUCGAGCGAGCGGCGGACGGGUGAGUAAUGUCUGGGAAACUGCCUGAUGGAGGGGGAUAACUACUGGAAACGGUAGCUAAUACCCCAUACCAUCAGAUGUGCCCAGAUGGGAGUAGCUAGUGGGUGGGGUAACGGCUGACCUAGGCGACGAUCCCUAGCUGGUCUGAGAGGAUGACCAGCCACACUGGAACUGAGACACGGUCCAGACUCCUACGGGAGGCAGCAGUGGGGAAUAUUGCACAAGGGUCGCAAGCCGAAUGCAGCCAUGCCGCGUGUAUGAAGAAGUCCUUCGGGUUGUAAAGCACGUUCAGCGGGGAGGCGUUACCCGCAGAAGAAGCACCGGCUAACUACGUGCCAGCAGCCGCGGUAAUUC
rnacentral:rRNA from 1 species